AUUCAGGUGGUAUGGCGUAUAUAUAUAUAUAUAUAUUUAAGGUGGUAUGGCGAUGAUGGGAAUGAUGAGAAAUGAAAGAUGUCUAAGAUCUCAGUGCAGGCCUCUGAAUUCACCACGCUGCUGUAAUAGAUUACAGAAUGGAAGCUGUCCUAGAAGGUGCUGAACAUUUUAGGUUGUGCACACUGUACACUGUACACUGUACAAUGAACAUAUUAGGUUGUGCACACUGUACACUGUACAAUGUACAAUGAACAUAUUAGGUUGUGCACACUGUACACUGUACACUGUACAAUGUACAAUGUAAAAGGUGUCUAAAAACGUUAGUUUAUGCCAGAGCCUCAAUAUCAAAACGAUGCUUUUAAAAAAUGUUUAAUAAUGUGUUCACUGAAAAAUGUAUAAUAAUGUAUUCACUGAAUACACCCUGUAUAUAUAAUAUAUACUGUGUUCACUGAAUACACCCUGUAUGUAAAUUUAAAAAGUUCAUCCAAACAGUGCAAUUUUAUCAGUGGUGCUGCUGGGAAUUAAAAAAAAAAAAUUUUAAAAGUUCAUCCAAACAAUGCAAUUUUAUCAGUGAUGGUGCUGGGAAUUAAAAAGAAAAUUUAAAAAGUUCUUCCAAACAGUGCAAUUUUAUCAGUGGUGGUGCUGGGAAUUUAAUAAAAAAAUUUAAAAGUUCAUCCAACAAUGUAAUUUUAUCAGUGGUGCUGCUGGGAAUUUAAUAAAAAAAUUUUAAAAGUUCAUCCAAACAAUGCAAUUUUAUCAGUGGUGCUGCUGGGAAUUUAAAAGAAAAUUUAAAAAGUUCUUUAAAAGAAAAAUUAAAAAAUUCAUCCAAACAAUGCAAUUUUAUCAGUGGUGCUGCUGGGAAUUAAAAAGAAAAUUUAAAAAGUUCUUCCAAACAGUGCAAUUUUAUCAGUGAUGGUGCUGGGAAUUUAA